ensembl:snRNA U6 U6 spliceosomal RNA
GUGCUCACGUCAGCAGCACAAAUACUAAAACUGGAACUGUACAGAGAAGAUUAGCAUGGCCCCUGCGUGAGGAUUACAUACAAAUUUGCAUUCCAUCCAAAAAAAAA